rnacentral:rRNA from 1 species
UUUGAGGGGUUAAGGCUCCCAGUAGACGACUGGGUUGAUAGGCCAGAUGUGGAAGCCCUGUGAGGGGUGGAGCUGACUGGUACUAAUAGGCCGAGGGCUUGUCCU